rnacentral:rRNA from 1 species
GCGGCAAAAGCUCAAAUUUGAAAUCUGGUACCUUCGGUGCCCGAGUUGUAAUUUGGAGAGGGCAACUUUGGGGCCGUUCCUUGUCUAUGUUCCUUGGAACAGGACGUCAUAGAGGGUGAGAAUCCCGUGUGGCGAGGAGUGCGGUUCUUUGUAAAGUGCCUUCGAAGAGUCGAGUUGUUUGGGAAUGCAGCUCUAAGUGGGUGGUAAAUUCCAUCUAAAGCUAAAUAUUGGCGAGAGACCGAUAGCGAACAAGUACAGUGAUGGAAAGAUGAAAAGAACUUUGAAAAGAGAGUGAAAAAGUACGUGAAAUUGUUGAAAGGGAAGGGCAUUUGAUCAGACAUGGUGUUUUGUGCCCUCUGCUCCUUGUGGGUAGGGGAAUCUCGCAUUUCACUGGGCCAGCAUCAGUUUUGGUGGCAGGAUAAAUCCAUAGGAAUGUAGCUUGCCUCGGUAAGUAUUAUAGCCUGUGGGAAUACUGCCAGCUGGGACUGAGGACUGCGACGUAAGUCAAGGAUGCUGGCAUAAUGGUUAU